GAGCCAAUCCAAUCUAGAUCAGCGAUAUGGCGCCGGUCAUAGCAUUCGAGGAUUACAGUGCCUCGAGUGCCUAGAAUAUUCUAGGCACUGUAGUGGAUUAUCCUGCAGUUUGAGCUUGUGGGCCGGUUCCUUGAUACGAUUGCAUUUUCUAAAGAUUGUCUGUGGUGACAGGUCAACACGGCCUUUCUGCCAACCUAACAGUUGGGCUCCGUCUCUAGGCCCCGUGGCCGUGACAAGAGAAAAUUUCUAGCCAGUUGGCUCGAACAUGCCCCAUUUUCGCGCUGCUGUUUCAUCGACAGCAGGACAAUCGAUGCCAUGCAACACGAAAACAAUACAAGUUAUAGUUUCUUUAAGAAAUAGCCGAUCGUGUCUGGUUGGCUCAUCGGCGACCAAAUUUCGAAGUUCGCUAGAUCGCUGCAGCUCGCCCUUGCUUCAACGGCUGUAUGUCCGUCGACUCAUCAGCCAGGCCCGUCGUCGUCAUCCGAAGAGCGGUGUGUCUUGAAAGGACGGGGCUCAACCUGGACGCCAAAGACUGCUAAGCGAAGUGGGCCUGCUUAUGGCUUUAGGAUCAGCGAGUAUGCCACUUGGAUGACUGCAACAUUUUAAUAAUGCUGGUUCCCAAGGGUGUCCAGGUAAUGAGUUGGUCAGCAAGUGCUAUGCAAGCUUCCUGAAUUCUUCUCGUAUGUGCAAAUAUUUUCUCAUUGCUUUUGAACACUAAAAAGUCAUGUAAGUCGGGACUUUUUAUGUUAUUUAUUACUGGGGGAACCGUCCGCAAGCGUCUUAUACAGGGACGUGCGUUCUCGCCCUAAAAUUGUAGAAGGACCAUUUUGCCCUAACCGCAUCUCCAUUCUUGAUAACAUUUUGCAGAAGGUUACUUUCAGAU